CUAAUACAUGCAAGUCGAGCGCAGGAAGCAGACUGAUCUCCUUCGGGAGUGACGUUUGUGGAAUGAGCGGCGGACGGGUGAGUAACACGUGGGCAACCUGCCUGUAAGCUCGGGAUAACUAGCGGAAACGCUAGCUAAUACCGAAUAACGCUGCGCACCGCAUGGCGCGCAGAUGAAAGGCGGCGCAAGCUGCCACUUACAGAUGGGCCCGCGGCGCAUUAGCUAGUUGGUGGGGUAAUGGCCUACCAAGGCGACGAUGCGUAGCCGACCUGAGAGGGUGACCGGCCACACUGGGACUGAGACACGGCCCAGACUCCUACGGGAGGCAGCAGUAGGGAAUCUUCCGCAAUGGACGCAAGUCUGACGGAGCAACGCCGCGUGAGCGAUGAAGGUCUUCGGAUCGUAAAGCUCUGUUGUCAGGGAAGAACACGUGUGAGAGUAACUGCUCACACCUUGACGGUACCUGACCAGAAAGCCACGGCUAACUACGUGCCAGCAGCCGCGGUAAUACGUAGGUGGCAAGCGUUGUCCGGAAUUAUUGGGCGUAAAGGGUGCGUAGGCGGUCUCUUAAGUCUGAUGUGAAAGCCCACGGCUUAACCGUGGAGGGUCAUUGGAAACUGGGAGACUUGAGUGCAGAAGAGGAGAGUGGAAUUCCAUGUGUAGCGGUGAAAUGCGUAGAGAUAUGGAGGAACACCAGUGGCGAAGGCGA
rnacentral:rRNA from 1 species